CCCUUAGAUGUUCUGGGCCGCACGCGCGCUACACUGAAUGGAUCAACGUGUUUUCCCUUCCCGAGAGGGACGGGUAACCCGCUGAACCCCAUUCGUGGUAGGGAUCGGAGCUUGCAAUUGUUCUCCGUGAACCAGGAAUUCCCAGUAAGCGCAAGUCAUAAGCUUGCAUUGAUUACGUCCCUGCCCUUUGUACACACCGCCCGUCGCACCUACCGAUUGAAUGGUCCGGUGAAAUCUCGGGACGGCGGCUUGGUCGCUUGCGUCCGACUGCUGAAACUUGAUUAAACCAUAUCAUUUAGAGGAAGGUGAAGUCGUANCA
rnacentral:rRNA from 1 species